GACGAACGCUGGCGGCGUGCCUAAUACAUGCAAGUAGAACGCUGAAGCUUAGUGCUUGCACCGAGCGGAUGAGUUGCGAACGGGUGAGUAACGCGUAGGUAACCUGCCUGGUAGCGGGGGAUAACUAUUGGAAACGAUAGCUAAUACCGCAUAACAGUAGAUAUCGCAUGAUAUGUGCUUGAAAGGUGCAAUUGCACCACUACCAGAUGGACCUGCGUUGUAUUAGCUAGUUGGUGAGGUAACGGCUCACCAAGGCAACGAUACAUAGCCGACCUGAGAGGGUGAUCGGCCACACUGGGACUGAGACACGGCCCAGACUCCUACGGGAGGCAGCAGUAGGGAAUCUUCGGCAAUGGACGGAAGUCUGACCGAGCAACGCCGCGUGAGUGAAGAAGGUUUUCGGAUCGUAAAGCUCUGUUGUAAGAGAAGAACGAGUGUGAGAGUGGAAAGUUCACACUGUGGCGGUAUCUUACCAGAAAGGGACGGCUAACUACGUGCCAGCAGCCGCGGUAAUACGUAGGUCCCGAGCGUUGUCCGGAUUUAUUGGGCGUAAAGCGAGCGCAGGCGGUUAGAUAAGUCUGAAGUUAAAGGCUGUGGCUUAACCAUAGUACGCUUUGGAAACUGUUUAACUUGAGUGCAAGAGGGGAGAGUGGAAUUCCAUGUGUAGCGGUGAAAUGCGUAGAUAUAUGGAGGAACACCGGUGGCGAAAGCGGCUCUCUGGCUUGUAACUGACGCUGAGGCUCGAAAGCGUGGGGAGCAAACAGG
rnacentral:rRNA from 1 species